rnacentral:rRNA from 1 species
UACGGGGGGGGCAAGCGUUGUUCGGAAUCACUGGGCUUAAAGGGCGCGUAGGCGGGCUGACAAGUCUGGGGUGAAAUGCCGCGGCUCAACCGUGGAACUGCCUCAGAUACUGUCGGCCUCGAGGAAGGUAGGGGCAUGCGGAACUGUAGGUGGAGCGGUGAAAUGCGUUGAUAUCUACAGGAACUCCGGUGGCGAAAGCGGCGUGCUGGACCUUUUCUGACGCUGAGGCGCGAAAGCUAGGGGAGCAAACGGG